UGGGGAAUAUUGCACAAUGGAGGGAACUCUGAUGCAGCGACGCCGCGUGAACGAAGAAGGCUUUCGAGUCGUAAAGUUCUGUUAGAAGGGAAGAUAAUGACGGUACCAUAAGAAAAAGCCCCGGCUAACUACGUGCCAGCAGCCGCGGUAAUACGUAGGGGGCUAGCGUUGUCCGGAAUCACUGGGCGUAAAGGGUUCGCAGGCGGAAAUGCAAGUCAGGUGUAAAAGGCAGUAGCUUAACUACUGUAAGCAUUUGAAACUGCAUAUCUUGAGAAGAGUAGAGGUAAGUGGAAUUUUUAGUGUAGCGGUGAAAUGCGUAGAUAUUAAAAAGAAUACCGGUGGCGAAGGCGACUUACUGGGCUCAUUCUGACGCUGAGGAACGAAAGCGUGGGUAGCAAACAGG
rnacentral:rRNA from 1 species